rnacentral:lncRNA from 10 species
UGCAAAGAGCCUGGCUGUGGGGACCCUUGGCUGCAGCAUCACAUUUAACCCUCCUUGGAAUGCUACAGGGAGCAUCCAGCAGACGGGAAGACAGAUGAUGCUGGAGACUGAGGAGCGACCUGCUGGAAGGAGAACAGUCCUUGGGGCGGAAUUCUGAGUGGGAUCCAACACAUUCAACAGCCGAUUGUGGAAUGAACAAACAACAGCUCAGCGCUUCCUUCUCCAAUGGGAUUAACUCUGCUUUCUCCUGCCCAGAGGGGGGGUUGGCCGCAGAGGAGCCAGGACAGUGCUCUGUCCCCUGUGUUCCAGUCCACAUCCCCCUCACCCCCGCCUGUCCUCAUGGUCUACGUGCCCAUGGGGAUACACUGGCCUGUGCAUUGCUUCCUGCUGGGUCUCAGACUCGGGGCUGUGGCAGAUGGGGACAGGGCCUGUCCUGGCACCAUCUGCCAAUUCCCUUUGUACUCCCAGUCCAUGAGGAAGUUGACUCUGCCCUGAAAACGACUGUUCCUGUGGUCCAUAAACAAAGGAAUGGUGAGCCAGGCAUGAGCUGUGGGCCCCAGGGGUGGGGCUGGGGGUCACCGUAGCAGAGGUAGCUGAGACUGUGGGAGGGAGGCUGGUGCCUCCUUGGUCCCCCUGAGGAUUUCAUGCCUGAUUUCUGGCACUGCCCAGCCUCUGCUCCAACCUCUCUGGAGGCAAAGGAGGUAACAGGAGGGCACAAGGCCAGGAAGUGUCAUUGGGAGCAAGGAAGGCGGCUGGUGGGCUAGCAGGAAAUGGGAUGGUCUGUGAGACCAGAUUAGUAGCAGAGGAGG